rnacentral:lncRNA from 1 species
AUGGCGAGGAAGGUGGUGCGGGCGGCGGGAUGGUGCCUGACCUGCCUGGACGCGCUGGAGGCGGCGGGCGACGCGGCCUCGCUGCGCGGCCCCUUCGCGGAUCUGGCCGCGGCGCUGCGGGGCCUGGGCGGCCUGACCGCGCGCGGGCCCGGGGGGCGCCUGGGCCGCGCCGGCCGCAUGCUGCGGCGCUGUGUCCCCGCGCUGCUCGCGGCCGCCCGUGGCCACCUCCGGCGUCCGCGCGACCCGCAGCUGGCGGCCUCCCGGGGCCACGUUUUCGCUCUGACCAGGCAGACGCUCGGCGAGCUCCUGGCGCGGCUGGAGCCCGGCGCCGCGGCCCCUGCGUCCAGUGCCCGGAGCGGCGCGCUCCCCCGGCGCCUGCGGCAGCUGCGCGAGCUCCUGGCGGCGCCCGGGCCCGGGCAGGCGCGCGAAGGCCCGCGGGACGCGCUCCUGGCCGCCGUGCUCUGGCCCUGCAUGCGCCUGGCCGCCUGCUCCGCGCCGCCCGACAGGCUGCGCCUGGUGGCCCUCUGCCGCCGGCUGCUGGAGCUGCGGGGCGCCGGCCGGCGCCUGGGCCGGAUCGAUGGGUCUCCGGGGACAGGCCUGGCGAGCCUGCCGCCGGGGCAGGAGUGCGCAGCGCUGCAGGCCGCGACUGAGGCCCUCGCCCAGGGAGUCCGCGCUGGGUUACUGCGCCAGAUCCUGGACACGUUCACCGACACGCAAAGUCCUCUUCAGAGGCUGGUCCAGGCCGCCUUGGCCGCUCCCCCUUUCAGCUCUCCGCGCGAUGCCGAGGGCCAGCCAAAGAGCCUCCAGCUUCUCCUUGCUGAUUUCCAGGACCAGGCCAAGCAGAUGCUCAGAGUGGCGCACUUAGUCUGGGUUUGCUGCUCCCGACAACAAACUGGCAAAGACGUCGAGGCCACCACGGCGGGCCUCUGGGAGCUUGUGGUCAGAGUGCAACAGCUUUUCUCGCAAAGCCCCGAAGGGUCUGGUCCGGACUGGAGCCCCGCCGCCCUGCAGGCCGUGCUUCAGGCGUGGGCCAGGGCAUCUGAAGGCCUACUGGCCUGUUUUGACGACGUUCUCAAUAUUCCUGAGUUCCUGGGUGUGUCCAUUCAGGAAAUGACCAAGCGCUUGGACUUCUUUACAUGGGCUUUGAGGAAGAGAGAUUCUAGAGAGUUUUCUCGACUCGUGGCAUAUUUACAGGGCCGAGCCACGCACAUAGGGCAGGUGAUGAGCAGGUAUGUGGACCAAGAUCGAGAUCCCAUUUUCCGGAAUGGCCUGAGAGUCUUGAUUCGGCAGCUGGAGGAAUCUUCCCUGGUCCUGGGUGCAGCUGCUGAGCGCUGUUCAGGUGGGCACAGCUCUCAGGACACAGAUGCGUUUUUAACCAUGGCAAAGCAUCUGAUCUGCUCAGCUCAGAGCAUCCGAGAGGGUCUGGAUGGGACUAACCACCCAGAUAUCCUCAGCCCCCUUCGACACCAAGUCCAAAGGUUUGAUAUUGCUAAGAGACAGCCUUAUUUUAUUCUCCCCAGCCUUCAGGACUCCAUAGUUUCUGAACUGAAACACCAAAGGGGCUCUGGGUUAGGGAAAAGUGAUCUAGGCACCUCCUAUCCGCCCAGGGACCAUCUUUCCAGUCCCUGGAUUCCUGGCACCCGUCCACAGAGGGGGGGCUCUCCACUUCCUGCCAUCAGCAAACUUGUCCUUGCUGUAGAGAGCCAGGCAGUGACUUCAGCUUGCAGCAGCCUGCAGGAUCAGGAUGCAGCUGUGGAUGCAGCUCAAGAGGCCUUGGCUAGGGAGGGACCACUGGGGUUGAAGAGGAUGACUGGACUCGAAGAAAUCUCAACACUGGUACCUUCUGCUAGUGACUUAGCAGGGGAGAUAGCACAUUGUACAACUGCUGGAACUGAUAGGCUUGUGGAAGUGGCUCUGCAACUGUCUGGCAGAACUAGGGAAACCAGGCAGGGUUUAGUAGCCAUGGCUGGUGACUGGUACCCUCUGUGUCAACAGCUAUUUUGCAACGACCCAGCAGCUGAUCUUCGAGAAAACAUGGCAGUGUUUGUGGAGCUUCAGCAGAAUUUAGCCUCAGUGGUUCAACUAGCAGCAAAAAGUGGGCCCAUGGAUUUGGGUAAAAAGGAUUCUGACUCGACUGGGCAUCCAGAAGCACUUUUACAAAUGCAAGGCAGACUGCAGGAGGCAGAGACCCACGCUAAACAGCUGUUGGACAAGAUUCUGGCCUCUGAUGGCCUCCAAGACCUCAAGUCAUGGGAGGAGAGCAUUGAGGAUGGGUGCCUUCUAUGGUCAGUGACUAUCCAAGACCUGCUCCAGUGCAUGGAGAGGCUCAGCGGGAGACAAGGCCUGUUCUUGUUCCUGCGACAAGCUGUGAAUGACCAGCAAGGGCUGCAGGAAGGGUUGGCUCAGGCAGCAGAUGUUUCUCGGAGGCUACAAGAGGCUGCCAGGCUGUCUUCCCUACUGUGUGGGGAGGAGAAAGUAAAGGGUGAAAUCUCCUUUCUGUGCAGGGAAGUUCAUGUGCUCACAGAAGCUCUGCUGGAUGUGGCACAGAUCCUGGCCUCCUCCCCCAAACCAUCACCCAGCCUGUCCACACGCUUUGAACUUCUCUACUUGGAGCUCACCCUUCGAGCCAAGGCCCUGACUGGCCAUCUCAGCAGCAUCAAUGCAGACUAUGAACAUGCCCUCCAAGCUGCCUUCUGCCCAAGACUUUCUGUCUGCAGAGACCCCCAGACCAGGCCAGAAAGCUCCCUGGAAAGAAUGGUGUCUGGUAUCCAAGCUGUGCAAGAAAUCGUGGCAGGAGGUCAGGAGUCUGGGCCCUGCCAGGAGAGUCUCCUUGUGGCGCUGGAGAGCAUUCUUGUCCUCACCAAGGAGGUAGCCCAGAGGGUCCCUGUGGUCCGAGAACACCCAGAGGAGUGGGGAAUGCACAUCCUGGACUGGCUUCAGUGGGAGUGGGCAGCUAAGGCCCACCAUGCUGUGACCCAGCUCCAGGCUUGGAAAGGUGGUCACACCAAGGCCUGGAGACUCCUGGCCCAGUGCUUGAAGCCCAGUAGUGAGACAGCAGUGAUGAAGCCCAGUGAUGAACAGGACCCUGUCCAGCGCCAGCUCCACCAUGCGGAGGGUGCAUCAGGAAUGGCUGCAGCGGGCAGUAUGGAUUCUCAGGGUGCUGCCCCAAGAGACACCCCAGGGAGCUCAGUGGGGACCUGCACUGCUGAUCCAGGCAUCGCUGGGACAAUCACAGCAGACCUGGGCACGCAGCAGCAGAGCGGCACCCCCGCCAGCGCCCCUGGCUGUCCAGCCUGGCUGCGCGCUGAUCUGGACCAGCCUCUGCCGGAGGACGGCAGCGCGGACAGUGGGAACAGAAUCACCCAGAUUACCCGGGAGAUGGCCAAGGAGGUGUUCCUAAUGGCCCAGAGUUUGAGGAGGAGAGGACGCAUCAUGACCAAAGAUCAGCUCAUCACCUCUGCUAGGAAAAUUGCGACUUCUGGACAAAACUUCGCCAAACUUAUCUGCAUCAUUGCUAAGAACUGCACAGAUCAAAGAUGUUCCCAGGAGCUUCUGUGUGCGGUAGAGCAGAUUCAGACAGUGAGCAGCCAGCUCCGCAUCAUCUCCGGUGUAAAGGCCUCCCUGGCCAGAAGCAAGUCCUCUGAAGAGCUCCUGGUAGAAAAUGCACAGCAGCUCCUCUGUGCUGUCUCCAAGACUGUGGGGGCUGCAGAAGCCGCAAGUCUCCGGGGUUUGAGACAAGCUUCCCCAGAUCCAGACGAACUGGAAGUUGCUGCCUUCUGCAUGGAGUGGAGGAGAAAACAGCUAAGGCACAGACUUCAAGAAACCUCAAACCUGGACUGUGAUGAGCUGGGCCUGCGAAAAACAAGCACUAAAGGGUCCCCAACACUUGCAGCCCUGGUUCAAGAAACAUCAUAAAAGCUGAGAAAUAGUCUCCAAGUCAGACUCUCUGUUGCUCUGUACACCAGCCUUGAGACUCUGGCAGUCCAGAGUGGGAAGUGUCCUUUAGGCUGAAUCAACCUGUGGGGACAUAGGGUGACACGCUGGGUUGGGUGGGUGUGGAAGUGGCCAGGGCUGGGCCUUGCACAGAGCUUCCCUCACAACAUUCUCAGUUAGGGGGACGUCCCUGGACCCUGGUGGGACUGAUUUCCUCCUGGGAAGCAGACUUACGUUUGUGGGCUUAGAAGAGACAUCACAUAUAGACUGUGGAGUGAGGGGGAAAACCAUGUAAGUGCCAUUAGCUUAGCCUUUAUUAAGAUGUUGCAAAGUAGGAAGAGUUCCAGAAUGUUCUGUAGGGAGCCAGGAACUGAAAGAUGUGUAGGUAAGAUUGGGAAGGUCAGUCAGAGCUCACCUUGCUCGGGUAAUUAGGCACUAUUCAAAUUCUCAGGGUCUGAGGACACUGAGGUUGUGUUAGUAGGGAAUAGGAUGCAGGGGCUGCGAGUCUGCAGACCCUGAGCUGUGCUUUGGUGAAGCUGCAUUUACCAUUUGGGAUGGAGAGGAACAGUAGGGAGUUAAGGUCUUUCCAGAAUCAGUGGGAAUUUUUCAGUUCUCUGCAUCUUUCACACAACCUACUUGGUAAAGGAACGAGGAAAAGGAGAGUGAGGCAACCAAUGACCUUCACCUCAGGUGCUGAACUGUCGGGGGCCAGGAGCUGAGAACUGAGUCUGGGGGAGGGGCACGCGGCCAGGGACUGGGAACACCGGCUGGGAGCGGGGAUGCCCCAGAGGCGGGGUGGCUUGCUUUUUGGGGGGCACCAUGCAAGUCUCUUGGAUUCUGGUGCAGCCCUCAGGGUGGAGGGGCUGACACUGGAUGAGAUUGAAUUUCCCACAACCCAGGGGGAUUGUGGCUCAGAUUUACAGUAAAUAAAAACAGGGAUUUUUUUCCA